rnacentral:ncRNA from 1 species
AUUAUAGCUUCGUAGUGACGACCUUAAUUGAAUAUGUAGGAUAGGUGGUAAGUGAUGACACACAACGACCAAUCCUUAAAGACCAUUCUUUCUUUUAAGGAUGCCUAAUUGCCACAUCGAUCAUUUAGGGAGAGGCGGGACACUGCGAGGUGGGUAAUUUAUUUGAGGUGAAUGCUUCUUAAAGAGUGACGGGGGUGUGCGAAGGUAGGCUCAAGCUAAGAUUCUGCUCAUGAGCUUAAUGAUAUAAGUCUGUAAAAUCUGAAAUCGACUGGUCGACAGAGAUAUAAGUCGGUCAUAAUCGAAGUAUAUUGUUGUUGUUGACG